UCUUCGAUGUCCUAGCAUCAGGUACAGACUAAAAAUGAACACCAGCUGUCAUCGUAUCCGGUCGUCUAACCGACAAUUAAAUUAAAAGCGAUUUUUUCGACGUGCCUUGAGAUUUACUAGGUUUGUAUACGGUUCGUUGUUAUCGUUGAUGUUGACCAAUGUCGAAACGGUAGCCAGACUUGCACUGCAACGUGCAGAUCACUCGAGGUAACCUAUAUUUGAGGGAAGUAAUAACGACGACGGAGACGGCUGGUUCAGCAGAUAAAUGUUUAUAGUUGCAUACUGUUGCUGUUGCGCCUGAUCCAACAUGUUGUUAAGCAACGAGAAGAGCACGUACAGAAGUGGCUGCUUGAGCUCGAACGAACGGAUUGUGCCCCUCCCCUUAUUUCAUGAGCAUAGUAAAUAACGUAGCGUCACGCAAAGGACUGUCAAACGUUGCAACAUUCGAUACAGACGAUGAGUUUUUUUGUAAACCAGGCAUAAGUGAACCUAAAGUUCCUGCCUUAAUCUAUUGGGGAAAGCCAUGACCUAGCCUUUAGACAUUGACACUUUUUUGAUAAGGGUUAGAGAGAAUCACAUGAAGGCCAGGUGCUCUGAACCGAUCAACAAAGAGAAAAUCAGUCUUUUUAGCUAUUUGGGUAGCCCGGAUAUUUCACAUGCUGACGACAAGGACAGACGAGUCGUGUACCACAACUGGAAGUUAAAACAAAAGCAGUUUCCAUGGUGACGGGAAGUACGAAUUGAACACGUAGCGAAAAAAACGUAUUUAUUCGUUCUCCUCCUCUUAUUGAGCUUAACAGUUUCGAGGUGACUAACGCAUACACUCUUCGUCCUUGCAAGUAAGUCGUAAGGCAAAGCUUGAGCGAAGUUAGUUUUGCUGCUUUGUCAAACAUUCCGUCGAAUUGUUAUUGGGACCCUAGCAGUAGCAUUUCGACAUCUAUUAUCGGUAGUCUCUCGUGUUUUUUUAUAGAACGAUUGCCUCCACUCGCUGCUGCAAAUGUUCGCAUCACCGCUGCGGAGUGACCCAUAUAACCGCGAUUGUGUGUUUGGACGUAACGAAACCCCGCCUAGUUAUCGUUUGUUAAGCGUGUGUUCGUGAAAUACGAGACCCAGCGACUCCGAAAUAGGUCUUUAUCGAAUUCGCCGUCGAACCCGUUGAGAAUAAGACCGGCAAAAGCAAAAGUAACGCCGUUGACCGCCACCCCUCCAUUAUGGGUCCAGCGCCCUUUCCGUAAGCAGUGGCGGCAGGGGCAAAUACCAAAGGCAGGUCGACUCGCACGCCAACUCCCUCUUUUGUGUUUUAGAAUCUACGUUUGUGCAGUUAGUACUCAUGUGCGUACCUAUGCCUCUGUGUGUUACCGCAAUAGAAUAGAACUAGCCUAUAAAACAACAGCCACUUUAGACAACCGAUCAAAAAGGACGAUAGCGUGGCGUUCAUAACGCGAUAACCUUCAGAUAUCACCAGCAGAACGUAGUCAGUCACCAGCUGAGUGUGUGAGUGUACGUGUCGAGCCGCUGCAGGCGGGCGUUGCUGGCAGCAUUGCCGGAGCCGAUGAUAAUACCGACGCUUCGUGAUAUUACAUAGGACUGCUUACCAUUGCGACUGCUGCUAAUGCUGUUACUGGAGCUCUGCUCAACAAGUGUUAAGACAAACGAUGUUGACAACGAAUGGAAGCGUUGGACUCGUUGCGGUCAAGAGAUCGCGGCGACUAAACCCGAAACGAGAUGUCCAGCGGCGGCAAUUGGGUCGCUGGCCGAGCAAUAUACAAUUGCAGUAAAAUACUCUUUGUGAGGAAAAGAGAGCCUAAAUCAAAGUCACGUUGAGCACGAACAUCUGCUGGAAAAUCUAGCAAGAACGCGCCUCACCAUGGCGACAGGAAGGCUGUGGCAAACAGAGCGAUGUUUGUCGUUACGACAGCAGCUGCCGCCUCUGCUGUUGUCGUUAAGCUUGCUGUCAAUGAAACAUGGAACACUCCAGGAGAAUAUAUGAGGGGACAUGUGUUACUGAGUGGAGAGGUCUCUGAGAAGAACUUACCGCAUAAUCAUGUCGAUGUGUAGUGGUACGCAAUAUUAAUGAUGCUAGCAGAUGGUUGAGCAGAAGAUCUCUUUGAUGAUUACGACAUCUAGGAUGGAACCUGGUGGUUAUUCGUUGAGACAUUAGAUCUUAUAAAGGUAAAAUAAUAAUAAAGAGAGGAGUGUAAUUUGUGCGUAUCUGGUCAGAAUUGCGAAAUUAUUAUUAAUUCAUUUCAUUUGUACGUAAAUGGUUUCCAAACAUGCUUUGGUAUCGUUUGUCUUGAAAAUGAUACGCGAUUUGAGAUUUCUGUGUACAGCGUAUCUGAUAUUUAUGUUAUAAUAUGAAGAGCGGAGUUGUUUGUAACUGUAAUUCAAAACGUCAUAAUUAGCACAAAAUUACAAUUUUCUGAAAAUUCGAAAAGUAGAACAACUGACGAAAUAAACCCUUCAAAUGACAUAAAACAGAUCGUUAACGAAUAACACGGAUGUGCGUUACAUUUAGCAUGCCUGCUUAAUAUCACUGAAAAUUUUCGGGCAUAGGAGGAAGAUCACUUGGGAAUUUUCCCCAUCUGUUCAAACCCAGUGCACAGAAAAUUGGGAUCCUAACAAUAGCAAUAUUUGCAAUGUGUAAAAAUACCUAAUACCGAAAUAACACUCUGCCCGAAAUAACACUCUGCCAGUGUAUUUGCUUGCCGAAACGAGGUGAAAUCGAACUAACAAUAUAGCUAAGAGCUUCUCUUGAAUGUUAAAGUAGCCUGUUGCGCUACGCCGAGACAUGAAUUGUUACAGUUUUACUAAAUAGAAGAGAAACGAAUAAGCCAAGGUAUUUCCGGCCAUAUAAGCAACUAUUAAAUAAGUAUAUCGGUCAUAGCGCACGGACAGAUAGAAGACUUACGGGUGUGAGGCGCCCAGUGCUUGGUAUCAAGGUUAGUUGCUCUACCAGGCAUAUAUACUCCUUCCGAAUAUUUCUUAUGCCUCCGCCGUUCUAGCAUACAUUGCACUAAGUGCACAACGGAAAAUGAAGAUACGAGGUAUUUUGCUCGAUUUUGCACGUAUUAUAUUCUACCAUUGACAAAGUGUGACCAAUGUCAAUGCUAUAUAUAUGCACAUUGAUUGUCGAAUCACAAUCUUUCAACACAAAGAUUCAUGUUGUAAUCCACUGAGUCAAAAACAAAAAAACUAGUUUCUGGGUAAAAAUGGGCCAAAUAUUUUCAAAAAUGCUCACUGUAGAGUAAGUAUAUGCGUCAAAGCUUGUUUGCCGAUUCAUUAAAGCAAACGUUGUGGACUGAAUAAAAGCCUAGAUUAGAACGUAUUGUGUGCAAAGUGCAGUACAUCGUGCUUCGACAAGUCUUAUAAUGACAACGAUUUGAUUCGCUGGUUUGACCGAAUCUUAGCCCUUAAGGCAAUCUGUCCAAGCCAAUUUUGUACCUUUUCCCGAACGUGGCUUGGUCCUUCGUGCAACCUGCUUACGGUAUUUUUUUUCGGAUAACAAUGGAACACCAUUUUAGCUGGCUCAUUCCAGUCAACAGUUCCAUCGAGCUCGAAAUUGAUGAAGGCACAAAAGUAAGCCUAACUUUUGGAUUUUCAGAAGUAAAAUGUCGUGCGGAUCGUGUAGUUUUUUUUUUUGAUUCGUUUAGAAGAACAGCAGAGCCUAUCUGUAAUCUGUAGGUUGAAAUUCUGUGUUUUUUAGUAUUACUUCUCUCGACGUUAGAUUGUGAUUUCGAUCUGUGAUAUUUUAUCAUACAUCUAUGCCAUUUUAUGACUUAUUCUGCGCUAUCUUAUGUGAAAGCUUACAAAGGAGCGGUAUAUUUCUAGCUAGCUAUUACCCAAUAUGAAGAUUUUCGUUUAGAAUAAAAGUAUGGCGUAAUGCUUUAGCCGUGACUCUGUAAUCGGUACUUAUCGUUUCCGUAGAAUUUCGACCCCCACUCCUCGAGCGUGCUCGCGCUAAUUUUUUGCUCUCCUAGUGUGUUUCAAGCAAUACAUGCACGCUAUGUAUGAUAUUAAUUUAUUAAAUCGACAAUAUUUUUUUUUCUUAGGAAACUAGGACUGAUUUAUUAAGUGUAUACAAAGAAAAUUUAAUUUUUAUUAACAUGUCAAAAAAAGGAUAUAGAAUACAGGCGGUUUACCACCCAGCUGCCAGCUAGACCUACUAUGUAUCCGAGAUUUUGUCCAGCAAGGUUCUGGGUUCUGGGAUGAACGGCUAUGCGUGGUUCUCCUUUGGAUAUUUCUUUUAGUGCCCGUUUCCGUUUAGAGCCACCUUAGAGAGUCCUUGCCCUGAAUUUGGGCCCGCUUAUUUAAUAGCUCUUAAGAUACCUUAGAAUAUGCUUUUUUUUCGUACCAUUUGUCGUAGCUUUCUGACGUCCCCUGAGGUAAGUCCAUUCAGCAAUUAGGGUUUUUCCCUUUGACAUGAGCCAGGCAUGUCACAGCAGCGAAAAGUCUCACCCACACUUCACGAUGAUAAUGAAAUUUAAUGCAUGCACCUCAUAGCUUUUAUUUUCCCUUAUGGAUUCCACACAAUCGAAGUUGUUUUUUUGCUU